UGGGGAAUAUUGCACAAUGGGCGAAAGCCUGAUGCAGCAACGCCGCGUGAGUGAUGAAGGUCUUCGGAUUGUAAAGCUCUGUCUUUUGGGACGAUAAUGACGGUACCAAAGGAGGAAGCCACGGCUAACUACGUGCCAGCAGCCGCGGUAAUACGUAGGUGGCGAGCGUUGUCCGGAUUUACUGGGCGUAAAGGGUGCGUAGGCGGAUGUUUAAGUGAGAUGUGAAAUACCCGGGCUUAACUUGGGUGCUGCAUUUCAAACUGGAUAUCUAGAGUGCAGGAGAGGAGAAUGGAAUUCCUAGUGUAGCGGUGAAAUGCGUAGAGAUUAGGAAGAACACCAGUGACGAAGGCGAUUCUCUGGACUGUAACUGACGCUGAGGCACGAAAGCGUGGGUAGCAAACAGGAUUAGAUACCCUGGUAGUCCACGCCGUAAACGAUGAGUACUAGGUGUAGGAGGUAUCGACCCCUUCUGUGCCGCAGUAAACACAUUAAAGUACUCCGC
rnacentral:rRNA from 1 species